UACGUAGGGUGCGAGCGUUAAUCGGAAUUAUUGGGCGUAAAGGGCGCGUAGGCGGUGCGGUAAGUCACCUGUGAAAUCUCCUGGCUCAACUGGGAGCUUGCAGGCGAAACUGCCGUGCUGGAGUGUGGGAGAGGUGCGUGGAAUUCCUGGUGUAGCGGUGAAAUGCGUAGAUAUCAGGAGGAACACCGGUGGCGAAGGCGGGUCUCUGGGCAACAACUGACGCUGAGGAGCGAAAGCGUGGGGAGCGAACAGG
rnacentral:rRNA from 1 species